rfam:Schistosoma haematobium scaffold651_27, whole genome shotgun sequence.
GCACUGCUGAGGAGUCCUAUGCUAGGACGAGACGGCCGUCCAGUGC